rnacentral:rRNA from 1 species
GACGAACGCUGGCGGCGUGCUUAACACAUGCAAGUCGAACGCUGAAGCUCAGCUUUUGUUGGGUGGAUGAGUGGCGAACGGGUGAGUAACACGUGAGUAACCUGCCCCCUUCUUUGGGAUAACGCCCGGAAACGGGUGCUAAUACUGGAUAUUCACUGGUCUUCGCAUGGGGGUUGGUGGAAAGGGUUUUUCUGGUGGGGGAUGGGCUCGCGGCCUAUCAGCUUGUUGGUGGGGUGACGGCCUACCAAGGCUUUGACGGGUAGCCGGCCUGAGAGGGUGACCGGUCACAUUGGGACUGAGAUACGGCCCAGACUCCUACGGGAGGCAGCAGUGGGGAAUAUUGCACAAUGGGCGCAAGCCUGAUGCAGCGACGCCGCGUGAGGGAUGGAGGCCUUCGGGUUGUGAACCUCUUUCGCUCAUGGUCAAGCCGCAACAAUGGUUGUGGUGAGGGUAGUGGGUAAAGAAGCGCCGGCUAACUACGUG